UACGGGAGGCAGCAGUAGGGAAUCUUGCACAAUGGGCGAAAGCCUGAUGCAGCAACGCCGCGUGAGCGAUGAAGGCCCUUGGGUCGUAAAGCUCUGUCCUAUGGGAAGAAACAAAUGACGGUACCAUUGGAGGAAGCCCCGGCUAACUACGUGCCAGCAGCCGCGGUAAU
rnacentral:rRNA from 1 species